rnacentral:rRNA from 1 species
AGCGAACGCUGGCGGCAGGCCUAACACAUGCAAGUCGAACCAAGUCUUCGGACUUAGUGGCGGACGGGUGAGUAACACGUGGGAACGUGCCUUUAGGUUCGGAAUAACUCAGGGAAACUUGUGCUAAUACCGAAUGUGCCCUUCGGGGGAAAGAUUUAUCGCCUUUAGAGCGGCCCGCGUCUGAUUAGUUAGUUGGUGAGGUAAAGGCUCACCAAGGCUACGAUCAGUAGCUGGUCUGAGAGGAUGACCAGCCACAUUGGGACUGAGACACGGCCCAAACUCCUACGGGAGGCAGCAGUGGGGAAUCUUGCGCAAUGGGCGAAAGCCUGACGCAGCCAUGCCGCGUGGAUGAUGAAGGUCUUAGGAUUGUAAAAUCCUUUCACCGGUGAAGAUAAUGACUGUAGCCGGAGAAGAAGCCCCGGCUAACUUCGUGCCAGCCGCCGCCGUAAUAC